CCUACGGGAGGUAGCAGUGGGGAAUAUUGGGCAAUGGGGGCAACCCUGACCCAGCCAUGCCGCGUGAGUGAAGAAGGUCUUCGGAUUGUAAAGCUCUUUCGGACGUGACGAUGAUGACGGUAUCGUCUAAAGAAGCAUCGGCUAACUCCGUGCCAGCAGCCGCGGUAAUACGGAGGAUGCGAGCGUUAUCCGGAUUUAUUGGGUUUAAAGGGUGCGUAGGCGGAUCGUUAAGUCAGUGGUCAAAUUGAGGGGCUCACCCCCUUCCCGCCAUUGAAACUGGCGCUCUUGAGUGGAAGAGAAGUAUGCGGAAUGCGUGGUGUAGCGGUGAAAUGCAUAGAUAUCACGAAGAACCCCGAUGGCGAAGGCAGCAUGCCGGCUUCCGACUGACGCUGAAGCACGAAAGCGUGGGGAUCGAACAGGAUUAGAUACCCCAGUAGUC
rnacentral:rRNA from 1 species